rnacentral:tRNA from 1 species
GGUAAAAUGGCUGAUUUAAAGCGAUAAAUUGUAAAUUUAUUUAUGAGGUUUUCACUUUUGCCA